GCCUUUCACUGGACAAGCUUGCAUUGCAAUAGGUUAUGUUCUUGUGGAAGAGAAAUUAGCUUAUACUCUGAUUGAGAUAUUAAAGAAGUGUAUCAAGAGGUUUUAUGGUGAUAACCUCAAAGAGUUGAAAAGUAUCUCCAGAAUUGUUAACAAGCACCAGUUUCAAAGAUUGGUUAAUCUCAUGAAAGAUCCCCAUGCUGCAUCCUCAAUUGUUUAUGGUGGUUAAGUGAAUGAAGAACAACUUGUCAUUGAGCCAACAAUCUUAUUAGAUCCACCACUUGAUUCUGAGCUCAUGAAUGAAGAAAUCUUCGGCCCAUUGCUUCCAAUAAUUACACUGAAAAAAUUGAAGAAAGCAUCGAAUUCAUCAACUCCAAGCCAAACCCUCUUGUUAUUUGUGCUUUUACUGAGGACGAAACCUUCAAGAAACAAAUUUUAUCAGAAACUUCUUCGGGAUCUGUAACAUUCAAUGACUCCAUGAUUCAGUUCCUAUGCGAUUCACUGCCAUUUGGAGGGGUGGGACAAAGUGGGUUUGGAAGGUACCAUGGGAAGUACUCAUUCGACACUUUCAGCCAUGAGAAAUCUGUGUUACAGAGAGCCUUCUACCCUGAACUGGAACCAAGGUAUCCUCCAUGGACGAAUUUCAAGCUUAUGUUCAUCAAAUUAGCCUACGGGUUCGACUACUUUGGAUUAUUGCUCCUCAUGCUGGACUUCAGAAAGUCUUAGUUUGGGACGACAACCAGCUUCGUAACAAA